rnacentral:rRNA from 1 species
GACGAACGCUGGCGGCGUGCUUAACACAUGCAAGUCGAACGAUGAAGACUGGUGCUUGCACUGGUUGGAUUAGUGGCGAACGGGUGAGUAAUACGUGAGUAACCUGCCUUUGACUCUGGGAUAAGCCUGGGAAACUGGGUCUAAUACCGGAUAUGACAAGGAACCGCAUGGUUUUUUGUGGAAAGGGUUUGUACUGGUUUUAGAUGGGCUCACGGCCUAUCAGCUUGUUGGUGGGGUAGUGGCUCACCAAGGCGACGACGGGUAGCCGGCCUGAGAGGGUGACCGGCCACACUGGGACUGAGACACGGCCCAGACUCCUACGGGAGGCAGCAGUGGGGAAUAUUGCACAAUGGGCGCAAGCCUGAUGCAGCGACGCCGCGUGAGGGAUGACGGCCUUCGGGUUGUAAACCUCUUUCAGCAGGGAAGAAGCGAAAGUGACGGUACCUGCAGAAGAAGCGCCGGCUAACUACGUGCCAGCAGCCGCGGUAAUACGUAGGGCGCGAGCGUUGUCCGGAAUUAUUGGGCGUAAAGAGCUUGUAGGCGGUUUGUUGCGUCUGCUGUGAAAGACCGGGGCUUAACCCCCGGUAUUGCAGUGGGUACGGGCAGACUAGAGUGCAGUAGGGGAGACUGGAAUUCCUGGUGUAGCGGUGAAAUGCGCAGAUAUCAGGAGGAACACCGAUGGCGAAGGCAGGUCUCUGGGCUGUAACUGACGCUGAGAAGCGAAAGCAUGGGGAGCGAACAGGAUUAGAUACCCUGGUAGUCCAUGCCGUAAACGUUGGGCACUAGGUGUGGGGGACAUUCCACGUUUUCCGCGCCGUAGCUAACGCAUUAAGUGCCCCGCCUGGGGAGUACGGCCGCAAGGCUAAAACUCAAAGGAAUUGACGGGGGCCCGCACAAGCGGCGGAGCAUGCGGAUUAAUUCGAUGCAACGCGAAGAACCUUACCAAGGCUUGACAUAUACUGGACCGCCUCAGAGAUGGGGUUUCCCUUCGGGGCUGGUAUACAGGUGGUGCAUGGUUGUCGUCAGCUCGUGUCGUGAGAUGUUGGGUUAAGUCCCGCAACGAGCGCAACCCUCGUUCUAUGUUGCCAGCACGUUAUGGUGGGGACUCAUAGGAGACUGCCGGGGUCAACUCGGAGGAAGGUGGGGAUGACGUCAAAUCAUCAUGCCCCUUAUGUCUUGGGCUUCACGCAUGCUACAAUGGCCGGUACAAAGGGUUGCGAUACUGUGAGGUUGAGCUAAUCCCAAAAAGCCGGUCUCAGUUCGGAUUGGGGUCUGCAACUCGACCCCAUGAAGUCGGAGUCGCUAGUAAUCGCAGAUCAGCAACGCUGCGGUGAAUACGUUCCCGGGCCU